ensembl:rRNA 5S_rRNA 5S ribosomal RNA
GUCUAUGGCCAUACCACCCUGAACACGCCCGAUCUCGUCUGAUCUUGGAAGCUAAGCAGGGUCGGGCCUGGUUAGUACUUGGAUGGGAGAUUUGUAACUUCAAAUCACAAAGAAGCAGAAAGGGGUACUGGGGGCC